AACGAACGCUGGCGGCAUGCCUAACACAUGCAAGUCGAACGAGACCUUCGUGUCUAGUUGCUCACGCGUGCGUCACGCGUGGGAACCUGCCUUUAGGCUCGGAAUACCUCAGUUAAAUUUGAGCUAAUACCGGAUGAUGUCUUCUGACCCAACAUUUAUCGCCGUUAGAUGGGCCGGCGUUGGAUUAGCCAGUUGCUGGGGUAAAGGCCUACCAAGGCGACGAUCCUUAGCUGGUCUGAGAGGAUAAUCAGCAACACUGGGACGGAGACAGGGGCCAGAAACAUACGAGAAGGAGCGGAAGGGAAAAUUAGACAAAGGGCGAAAGCGUAAUACAGCAAUGCGGCGUAAAGGAUGAAGGCCGUAAGGGUGUAAAGCUAGGUUAAUAGAGAGGAGAAUGAAAGGAUCGGGAAGAUAAACCCCGGCUAAAUCCGUG
rnacentral:rRNA from 1 species